AGAGUUUGAUCCUGGCUCAGAAUCAACGCUGGCGGCGCGCUUAACACAUGCAAGUCGAGCGAGAAAGGGGAGCAAUCCCUGAGUACAGCGGCGUACGGGUGAGUAACACGUGGGUCAUCUACCUCUUUGUGGGGAAUAACCCUGGGAAACCGGGGCUAAUACCGCAUAAGCCUGGAAAGGGAAAGCAAGCAAUUGCGCAGAGAGAGGAGCCCGCGGCCGAUUAGCUAGUUGGUGAGGUAACGGCUCACCAAGGCGACGAUCGGUAGCCGGCCUGAGAGGGCACACGGCCACACUGGCACUGAAACACGGGCCAGACUCCUACGGGAGGCAGCAGUGGGGAAUCUUGCACAAUGGAGGCAACUCUGAUGCAGCGACGCCGCGUGAGCGAUGAAGCCCCUCGGGGUGUAAAGCUCUUUCGGCAGGAACGAUAAUGACGGUACCUGAAGAAGAAGCUGCGGCUAACUACGUGCCAGCAGCCGCGGUAAUACGUAGGCAGCGAGCGUUGUUCGGAAUUACUGGGCGUAAAGAGUGUGUAGGCGGUGCUCUAAGUUCGGUGCGAAAUCUCCCGGCUUAACUGGGAGGGUGCGCCGGAAACUGGAGUGCUCGAGCGUGGGAGAGGAAAGCGGAAUUCCUGGUGUAGCGGUGAAAUGCGUAGAUAUCAGGAGGAACACCUGUGGUGUAGACGGCUUUCUGGACCAUAGCUGACGCUGAGACACGAAAGCGUGGGUAGCAAACAGGAUUAGAUACCCUGGUAGUCC
rnacentral:rRNA from 1 species